UCAUAGUCUUGGCCUUCAUAGAGAUUCAUGAAUCACAAAUUUGCUUGAAAAUUAAUUUUUUCAGUAGUGAAUGGAAAUAAAAUAGACAAGCAGAGAAAGCUCAGGUUAAAUGAAACUGGCAUUGCAAACCAUGAACUAGUUCAUCUUCAUGACAGAAAACUGAAGUAAUCUCACAUCAAGAUCAUAUGAAUAAUUAAUUUACCUUUCAUUCAAGAGCAUACUCUGACCUAAAAAUAUAUGUGAAGUGGUAUGUUACCUUUACUUAAAAACAGUUUCUUGUUGGCAUGGUUUAACUACUGAACUGAAGUCUAAAAAGAGAGAAUGCCUCUACUAUUAAUCUUUAAUAAGACAUGCCACAUAGGAGAGCUAUAAUUCAACAGGCAACAGCAAAUAAUUCCACAUAAUUUUUGAUAUUAUAUAACUUCAAUUUAUUGAGAAAACAUUGUCAAUAAAAAAGACAGACUGUUAGUACUAUAUGCAAGGAUGCUAGUUUAGAAAAGUUGUGACUAAAAUUUGAGUGCUGCUGGCAAAGAAACUCACUUUCCAUUGCCAAAAGAGUGCCUAAAGUAUUAUUUUCUUUUUCUGUGUUGUAAUACUUUAAUACAGUGAAACAAGCCAGUUGCAUUUAACUUGGUUUCAUGAUCCCUUUAUGACACUAUGUAUUGCAAUGACCUCAAUAUAAUCAGACCUGAUUUUAUAAACAGCACAAAACCAGUCCUUCCAUUAAUCAAAGAUACAAGUAAUAAAUUAUGUUCAUUUUCAGCUUGCCUGAGAGAAACGGAGACCUAGAGUAACAAAAGUGAAAAAAGAUCCAUCCAAAUGGCCAAAUCCUUCUGCUGGGGGCCAGGUUUGGAAACAGGAUUCAGGGUGGAGUUGCAUGAGAGCAGAGCUGAGGGACAGAACAGCCCUGGGAACUGAAGAAUAGAGAAACAAAGAACCAAAUGCUCCAAAAGUGAACCCAAACCCCUGGGUCUGGGCUAAGCACCACAAGGUAGAAUGAAUGAAAAGAAAAACUUCCACAAAAUCAUCAAGGAAACUGCCAUCUGCUUGUCUUGAAGGUUUUCUCUACUCCUGAUCAGAGGUUGUAAUGGCAAAACAGGUCCUGGUACAUCAUCUGUACUUUACAGACAAUGUAGAAAACUUAAAGAAAUGUUUGUAAAAUACUAUACUCAUGUGUGAGUGCAAAAGUACUGAUAUAUUGGUAUUCUGUUACAGUGUUUCAGUGUCUUAUGAAAGGUUGUAGUGAAAGGUGAAAAUAGUAUCACAAGUGAAAUUGAUGCACUGUUAUAGCAAAGAUGUAAAGGAAGAAAUUAGCAUAUUUUGAAUUUUCCAUGAAAUCGCUAGGAGUAACUGUGAGAAUGUUCCUUAAUGACUUUACCACAGGCUACAAAAAACAUUUUUUAGUAUCACAAAUACAUUUGAAAUAAAUAUAAAGCUUUUUAUUUAAGUUAACAUAAAGUAAACAUAGAGCUUCAAAUUCAAAUUAAUUUAAUUUCAAAUAGAUAUUUUAAUUAAUUCUGUAACAGUGUUAUGUCUCCUGCCAUAGGUAAAUGUAUUAGGCAUAAUAUAUUAGCAUAAUGAAAAGGUGAUCUCUGCCUCAUGAAACAGACAAAUUCCCUUUUCCUUGCCUUCAGUACUCCUGUAUGACUACUCUGUAGCCUCUGUGGUCCUUACAUUGUUUCAUCAGAAAAUAUGAUACUAUUCUCUCCUCAGUUUAAAUCCAAUGUGGUCAAAUCUGAGUUUGCUUUUUCCUGCAAAAUCUCCAAACCCCCUGUUUAGAUAUUUAUCUGUACUGAUGAUGUAACAUGGACAUUUCCACUCAGACCCACAAACCAGGCUCAUUUAGGAUGCUUCUAUUCCUUUCCUGUGCAUGUCCACUCCCCUAUCCUGCUCUGUCUUUGGCCUAUUCCCGACUGGUUCGUUUGCAUUAAAAAGAUUUUCAAACCUUCUCCUGUCUUUAGGAUCCAUUGCAGCUCUACCCUUUGCUGUUCAGUCUCUCAUCUCUGUCAGCAUCUUUGCCACAUUUACCAAAUUUUUGUUUAUCUUUCCUCUUCCAAUACUCUACCCUGAUUAUGAAGACCUUUUCUAUUACUUCAAGUCUGCUGUGUACUAUAAUUAGCUAUGAGUUUUAGCCUCAUGUUCUUCAAAUUUUUAGUUUUAAGAACAACACUAUUGAACUCAUAGGGAUUACUUUGAUUUUAGAAAUUUUUUGUCAUGAUUUUUGAGAAUCACCAGUUUCUUAGUUUAAUUUUGUCUGUAAAUAUAAAUUCCAAAUAUAUCAUGCUUUUAAAUUCUUAAAGAGAAGUUCAUCAUGCUUCUGAAAAAAAAAAAAAAUCCAAGAACAAUCUUAUGAAUCUUAGUAUCUUUCAUUUAAAAGACAAUAAAAUUUAUCCUAAGCUUGCAGUAAUUAUCUAUUACUUUUGUUUUCCCCAUUUUACAUCAUUUUUCUUCAUUUUUGUUCAAAUGUUUGGUGUUUUGUUCUUUCUCUUUGAUUGUUAUCUUUUCAGCUAUCAUCUUAUGAUGCAUAAUAGACACCCUACAGAGAUCACUUGGAAGCACAACAUAAUCAUUAAUAAAAUUAGUGGGAUGGAUUGAAAAUAGAAUGUUUUUUCUAUUUAUGCUCUGUAUUCAAACAGAUAGAAAGUAUCAUCAUGAAGAGCUUGAUGAUGAUAAAUGAAAACUAAGG